rnacentral:misc_RNA from 1 species
UUUCCGUUGGUGAACCAGCGGAGGGAUCAUUACAGAGUUGCAAAACUCCCAAACCAUUGUGAACGUUACCUAUCCCGUUGCUUCGGCGGGCGGCCCGGGCCCCGCGCCCGGCGCCCCCCGGCCCCCCGUGGGCGCCCGCCGGAGGUAAACCAAACCCUUGAAUUGCAUGGCCUCUCUGUGUCUUCUGUACUGAAUAAGUCAAAACUUUCAACAACGGAUCUCUUGGUUCUG